rnacentral:rRNA from 1 species
CCGUUAUAACCGGCGAUUUCCGAAUGGGGAAACCCAGUGUGUUUCGACACACUAUCAUUAACUGAAUCCAUAGGUUAAUGAGGCGAACCGGGGGAACUGAAACAUCUAAGUACCCCGAGGAAAAGAAAUCAACCGAGAUUCCCCCAGUAGCGGCGAGCGAACGGGGAGAAGCCCAGAGCCUGAAUCAGUGUGUGUGUUAGUGGAAGCGUCUGGAAAGGCGCGCGAUACAGGGUGACAGCCCCGUACACAAAAAUGCACAUACUGUGAGCUCGAUGAGUAGGGCGGGACACGUGGUAUCCUGUCUGAAUAUGGGGGGACCAUCCUCCAAGGCUAAAUACUCCUGACUGACCGAUAGUGAACCAGUACCGUGAGGGAAAGGCGAAAAGAACCCCGGCGAGGGGAGUGAAAAAGAACCUGAAACCGUGUACGUACAAGCAGUGGGAGCCUCUUUAUGGGGUGACUGCGUACCUUUUGUAUAAUGGGUCAGCGACUUAUAUUCUGUAGCAAGGUUAACCGAAUAGGGGAGCCGAAGGGAAACCGAGUCUUAACUGGGCGUUAAGUUGCAGGGUAUAGACCCGAAACCCGGUGAUCUAGCCAUGGGCAGGUUGAAGGUUGGGUAACACUAACUGGAGGACCGAACCGACUAAUGUUGAAAAAUUAGCGGAUGACUUGUGGCUGGGGGUGAAAGGCCAAUCAAACCGGGAGAUAGCUGGUUCUCCCCGAAAGCUAUUUAGGUAGCGCCUCGUGAAUUCAUCUCCGGGGGUAGAGCACUGUUUCGGCAAGGGGGUCAUCCCGACUUACCAACCCGAUGCAAACUGCGAAUACCGGAGAAUGUUAUCACGGGAGACACACGGCGGGUGCUAACGUCCGUCGUGAAGAGGGAAACAACCCAGACCGCCAGCUAAGGUCCCAAAGUCAUGGUUAAGUGGGAAACGAUGUGGGAAGGCCCAGACAGCCAGGAUGUUGGCUUAGAAGCAGCCAUCAUUUAAAGAAAGCGUAAUAGCUCACUGGUCGAGUCGGCCUGCGCGGAAGAUGUAACGGGGCUAAACCAUGCACCGAAGCUGCGGCAGCGACACUAAGUGUUGUUGGGUAGGGGAGCGUUCUGUAAGCCUGUGAAG